UGUUUGAUCCUGGCUCAGGAUGAACGCUGGCGGCGUGCCUAAUACAUGCAAGUCGAGCGAACAGACGAGGAGCUUGCUCCUCUGACGUUAGCGGCGGACGGGUGAGUAACACGUGGAUAACCUACCUAUAAGACUGGGAUAACUUCGGGAAACCGGAGCUAAUACCGGAUAAUAUAUUGAACCGCAUGGUUCAAUAGUGAAAGACGGUUUUGCUGUCACUUAUAGAUGGAUCCGCGCCGCAUUAGCUAGUUGGUAAGGUAACGGCUUACCAAGGCAACGAUGCGUAGCCGACCUGAGAGGGUGAUCGGCCACACUGGAACUGAGACACGGUCCAGACUCCUACGGGAGGCAGCAGUAGGGAAUCUUCCGCAAUGGGCGAAAGCCUGACGGAGCAACGCCGCGUGAGUGAUGAAGGUCUUCGGAUCGUAAAACUCUGUUAUUAGGGAAGAACAAAUGUGUAAGUAACUAUGCACGUCUUGACGGUACCUAAUCAGAAAGCCACGGCUAACUACGUGCCAGCAGCCGCGGUAAUACGUAGGUGGCAAGCGUUAUCCGGAAUUAUUGGGCGUAAAGCGCGCGUAGGCGGUUUUUUAAGUCUGAUGUGAAAGCCCACGGCUCAACCGUGGAGGGUCAUUGGAAACUGGAAAACUUGAGUGCAGAAGAGGAAAGUGGAAUUCCAUGUGUAGCGGUGAAAUGCGCAGAGAUAUGGAGGAACACCAGUGGCGAAGGCGACUUUCUGGUCUGUAACUGACGCUGAUGUGCGAAAGCGUGGGGAUCAAACAGGAUUAGAUACCCUGGUAGUCCACGCCGUAAACGAUGAGUGCUAAGUGUUAGGGGGUUUCCCCCCCUUAGUGUUGCAGCUAACGCAGAAAGCACUCCCGCG
rnacentral:rRNA from 1 species